rnacentral:rRNA from 1 species
GACGAACGCUGGCGGCGUGCCUAAUACGUGCAAGUCGAGCGAAUCUCAGGGAGCUUGCUCCCUGAGAUUAGCGGCGGACGGGUGAGUAACACGUGGGUAACCUGCCUGUAAGACCGGGAUAACUUCGGGAAACCGGAGCUAAUACCGGAUACUUUCUUUUCUCGCAUGAGGGAAGAUGGAAAGAUGGUUCUGCUAUCACUUACAGAUGGACCCGCGGCGCAUUAGCUAGUUGGUGAGGUAACGGCUCACCAAGGCGACGAUGCGUAGCCGACCUGAGAGGGUGAUCGGCCACACUGGGACUGAGACACGGCCCAGACUCCUACGGGAGGCAGCAGUAGGGAAUCUUCCGCAAUGGACGAAGGUCUGACGGAGCAACGCCGCGUGAGCGAAGAAGGCCUUCGGGUCGUAAAGCUCUGUUGUUAGGGAAGAACAAGUACGAGAGUAACUGCUCGUACCUUGACGGUACCUAACCAGAAAGCCACGGCUAACUACGUGCCAGCCGCCGCAGUAAGAC